CCCUUAGACGUUCUGGGCCGCACGCGCGCUACACUGACCAGUGCAACAAGCAUCCGUCCUUGGCCGACAGGCUCGGGCAAUCUUUGAACGCUGGUCGUGAUGGGGAUAGACUUUUGCAAUUUUUGGUCUUCAACGAGGAAUUCCUAGUAAAAGCAAGUCAUCAACUUGCAUUGAUUACGUCCCUGCCCUUUGUACACACCGCCCGUCGCACCUACCGAUUGAAUGGUCCGGUGAAGCCUCCGGAUUGGCGCGCACCUCGGUGCCGCCGAGAAGUUGGCUAAACCUUACCAUUUAGAGGAAGGUGAAGUCGUAACA
rnacentral:rRNA from 1 species